UCCCCUGUAGCUCAAUGGUAGAGCGACCGGCUGUUAACCGGUAGGUUGUUGGUUCGAGUCCAACCGGGGGAGCCA
rnacentral:tRNA from 1 species